GACGAACGCUGGCGGCGUGCUUAACACAUGCAAGUCGAACGGAAAGGCCCUGCUUUUGUGGGGUGCUCGAGUGGCGAACGGGUGAGUAACACGUGAGUAACCUGCCCUUGACCUUGGGAUAACUUCAGGAAACUGGGGCUAAUACCGGAUAGGAGCUCCUGCCGCAUGGUGGGGGUUGGAAAGUUUCGGCGGUUGGGGAUGGACUCGCGGCUUAUCAGCUUGUUGGUGGGGUAGUGGCUUACCAAGGCUUUGACGGGUAGCCGGCCUGAGAGGGUGACCGGCCACAUUGGGACUGAGAUACGGCCCAGACUCCUACGGGAGGCAGCAGUGGGGAAUAGUGCACAAUGGGCGGAAGCCUGAUGCAGCAACGCCGCGUGCGGGAUGAAGGCCUUCGGGUUGUAAACCGCUUUCGCCUGUGACGAAGCGUGAGUGACGGUAAUGGGUAAAGAAGCACCGGCUAACUACGUG
rnacentral:rRNA from 1 species